rnacentral:rRNA from 1 species
GAAUGGGGGGGGCCCUAACAAUGCAAGUCGAGGGGUAGAAAGAGCUUGCUUUUUUGAGACCGGCGCACGGGUGAGUAACGCGUAUGCAACCUACCUUAUACAGGGGAAUAGCCCGAAGAAAUUCGGAUUAAUGCUCCAUGGUUUAUCGAUAUGGCAUCGUAUUGAUAAUAAAGAUUUAUCGGUAUAAGAUGGGCAUGCGUAUCAUUAGCUAGUUGGUGUGGUAACGGCAUACCAAGGCAACGAUGAUUAGGGGUCCUGAGAGGGAGAUCCCCCACACUGGUACUGAGACACGGACCAGACUCCUACGGGAGGCAGCAGUGAGGAAUAUUGGUCAAUGGAGGCAACUCUGAACCAGCCAUGCCGCGUGCAGGAUGACGGUCCUAUGGAUUGUAAACUGCUUUUGUACAGGAAGAAACCUCCCUACGAGUAGGGACUUGACGGUACUGUAAGAAUAAGGAUCGGCUAACUCCGUGCCAGCAGCCGCGGUAAUAA